UUAUCAAAAACAUCGCCUCUUGCUAACAAAGGAAGUACUAGAGGUCCCGCCUGCCCUGUGACCACAAAGUUUAACGGCCGCGGUAUCCUGACCGUGCGAAGGUAGCGUAAUCAUUUGUCUUUUAAAUAGAGACCUGUAUGAAUGGCAUAACGAGGGCUUAACUGUCUCCUCCCCCGAGUCAAUGAAAUUGAUCUGCCCGUGCAGAAGCGGACAUAAACACAUAAGACGAGAAGACCCUAUGGAGCUUUAGACAAAAGAUCAAACAUGUAAAGAAACCAAACUAACCAAAAGGAAUACAAAAGCCACAAAACCCAGUGUAAACUGAUCCAAAUGUCUUCGGUUGGGGCGACCAUGGGGGAAAGAAAAGCCCCCACGAGGAACAGGGACAACCCCUAAACUAAGAGAGACACCUCUAAGCAACAGAAAAUCUGACCAAAAAUGACCCAGGACACUAAUCCUGAUCAACGAACCAAGUUACCCUAGGGAUAACAGCGCAAUCCUUUCCCAGAGUCCAUAUCGACGAAAGGGUUUACGACCUCGAUGUUGGAUCAGGACAUCCUAAUGGUGCAGCCGCUAUUAAGGGUUCGUUUGUUCAACGAUUAAUAGUCCUACGUGAUCUGAGUUCA
rnacentral:rRNA from 1 species